rnacentral:rRNA from 1 species
UACGGAGGGUGCAAGCGUUAGUCGGAAUUACUGGGCGUAAAGCGUGCGUAGGUGGUUUCUUAAGUCCGUUGUGAAAGCCCUGGGCUCAACCUGGGAACUGCAGUGGAUACUGAGAGGCUAGAGUGUGUCAGAGGAUGGUGGAAUUCCCGGUGUAGCGGUGAAAUGCGUAGAGAUCGGGAGGAACAUCAGUGGCGAAGGCGGCCAUCUGGGACAACACUGACGCUGAGGCACGAAAGCGUGGGGAGCAAACAGG